UUCCAGUACCUUACUAAAUCAGAAAUGUGGGGACACAUGGAGAAAGAGAGAGCCGGGAAUGAGAAGACCGGUGCAAGGGAGGUAGGAGUGUAGUAGGAAAAACCGCUAUACAAUCUGAAGACCUGAUGCGGAUCGAAAUGAAGUAGAGAAGCUCUUUGACUCUGUGGCGAGAAAAGCCGCUAUAGUGUUUAGUAAGCCCGUACCGCAAACCGACACAGGUAGAUGAGGAGAGAAUCCUAAGGCCGGCGGGAGAAGCAUUGUUAAGGAACUCGGCAAAAUGACCCCGUAACUUCGGGAGAAGGGGUGCCCAGGCAACUGGGCCGCAGAGAAAAGGCUCAAGCAACUGUUUAGCAAAAACACAGGUCUAUGCGAAACCGUAAGGUAAAGUAUAUGGGCUGACGCCUGCCCGGUGCCGGAAGGUUAAGAGGNNNNNNNNNNCGGUCCUAAGGUAGCGAAAUUCCUUGUCGGGUAAGUUCCGACCCGCACGAAAGGCGUAAUGAUUUGAGCGCUGUCUCAACAAUGCACCCGGUGAAAUUGAAGUACCAGUGAAGAUGCUGGUUACCCGCGCCAGGACGGAAAGACCCCAUGGAGCUUUACUCCAGCUUGAUACUGGGAUUCGGUAAUACUCGUACAGGAUAGGUGGGAGACAUAGAAGCAUGGACGCCAGUUUAUGCAGAGUCGCCGUUGGGAUACCACCCCUGUAU
rnacentral:rRNA from 1 species